ACCUGAGUGGCUCAGUCGGUUGAGCAUCUGACUUCAGCUCAGGUCAUGAUCUCAUGGUUCGUGAGUUCGAGCCCCGCAUCAGGCU
rnacentral:tRNA from 1 species